rnacentral:lncRNA from 1 species
CCAUAAUAGAGUUUAUGCUUCUGAUCCACAAGGCAAUACUUGACAAGUUUUUAGGAGGCAACAACGGUAAGGAAUUUCUUGCAAACAUAGCCUGUUUGGACUAAAGCAAUGAUAUCUGUUUGUUGUUUUAGGACCUCCUGCCCUGCCUCCUGAUCCGAUGAAUGAUGGUAAGAUAGACUUGAACUAGAAUCUUUUCUAUUUUGUUGUUUUAUAACCUGACGGAGGCAUCCCUGAAAAUAUUACCAGCUCAAUCACACGCGCAAGCAGCCGCGCAUCAGC